rnacentral:rRNA from 1 species
GAUAGUUUAACGGCCGCGGUAUUUUAACCGUGCGAAGGUAGCGUAAUCACUUGUCUUUUAAAUGGAGACCAGUAUGAAUGGCAUCACGAGGGCUUAACUGUCUCCCCUAUCCAGUCAAUGAAAUUGACUUUCCCGUGCAGAGGCGGGAAUAAUAAUAUAAGACGAGAAGACCCUGUGGAGCUUUAGACUUAAAAUAAAUUGCACCUCCAUGUCAUAACCCCGACAAAAUCCAGCAAUUACACAUUUGAAUGUCUUUGGUUGGGGCGACCGCGGGGUAAAAUACAACCCCCAUGUAGAUAGGGGGCAUUGCCCCUAACACUCAGAGCCUCUUCUCCAAGUAACAGAAAAUCUGACUUCCUGAUCCGGCAUGCCCGAUCAACGAACCCAGUUACCCCAGGGAUAACRGCGCAUCCCCUCCCAGAGCCCUUAUCGACAAGGGGGUUUACGACCUCGAUGUUGGAUCAGGACAUCCUAAU